UGCCCUGGAGGUGUGAUGGUAACUAGAAUCCUGAGUGUUUGUUGUCUUAUUUACAAAGAGUAGAUUUGGACACGGCUGGACGCAAGUUCACACACUCCCUUCCCAGCACAAUGUGAACAGACGGCCUGCUAGAACAAACGUGGUGCUCCAUGAAACCCCUCCAUUUCUCCUCCUUCUCCCUAAGAUGAAUUUGGGUGGUGGGGUAUUUCAGAUUUUCUUUUAGAGACACUUUUCGUUUUCUACACUUUUCCUAACACGAUGCAGUUGAUCCCCUUUGGAAGUUCGAUCGCACCUCUGGCAUUGCAGUGCAUGAAGGCUUUUCCUCACGGCUGUGUUUCUGGAAGCUAAGUGCAUGGCAGGAAAGACGUAUUUAUCUUGGAACUGAGACUUGAGAAGCGAGUUCCGCCCUUGAACAAGACCUCUCCGCCUGGGAUUUCAACCUAGACAGUUCUUUCUUAUGAGACGUGUGGCAACCUGUUGGCGUGGCCUAGGAGGCUCUCUGAAAUUGGUCCCCAACUUUCCGCUCCAGCGCUGGCACCUGCCACUCUGUCCUGUGCAGCUAGAGAGUAUUCCGGAUGGGGUGAAAGCUCGGGGAGCCAUCACUCCCCAGAAGUCCUGCUUCGAGCCAUAAUGAGACUACACAGACCCUUGACCACCAGAAUCAGAAACUGAGCAAAGAUUCCUCGGUGCCGGCUUGGAAGGUGUCUAGGAAACGGGAUCACACCAACCUGUCUGCAAACAUGCAGCUCUGAUUUCGGAAGCAUCCGUUGGCAGGGUCUCUGUUGGUGCCAGCACUGGCGGUGCGGCAGGAGGCCCCACCAGGACUCCUGGGUUUGGCCUCUGGGAGACCACCUGCCCUCACUGGGGCCAGGCUCCAGGCAGCGGGGAUCUGUCUGCCUGCCCAUUCCUGCUUUCUCAGCACCUGGAAUAGUGCCAGGCAGAGGAGUCGCCCCAUCCGCAUCGGUGGAGUGAAUGAAUGCAUCACUGAAGUCUGGCCUGAGCUGGGGAAGGGCUUGCCUCUUGUUUCAGAACAGGCCUGGGUGGGAAAGUGACUGUGGUUCUCCUCUGUGGCUCUGGCAGCACCAUUCCGAGAAGGCUUUGGGCUGGCGGGAACCAAGGUUAUUGUUCUCCCUUAUCUCUCUCUCCUGUAACUGAGUCAUCACUGAAAGACGACCCUAGAGAUGAGAGAAGCAAAGUGUUGCAGGACAUCUUCAGAUAGGGGCAUCCGGGGAGGACAGUAGGAGAUGGGGACAAUCAGGGCAGCACCUUCCGGGCAGGGGCAGGGGCA